ACAAUGAUACCAUCGAUACGCCUACUCUUGUGAUCAAACGAGUUCUUCAACUCUCAUGGGUUCUCUAUCUCAAUCAUUCAACUCCUACUCAAGCUCUAAAAUUUUGAAGAGAAAAAGCAUAAUGUAAGGUUUGUCCUAACUCUUUUGUAAGUGUAUCUAAAAACUUGUUCUUGUUUUCUUCUACAAUAUUAUUUGUUUAUGUUAAUUGUUAACUGAAUAUGAAGGAUCCAAAGAAGGAAAAAUGUGAUUUUUAGGAAUGGAUUGAUGAAGAUGAAGAAAAUAUAACCAAGAACAAGAAUAAAAUAGAUGAAUAACAUGAACACUCUAUUGAAGUGAAGAUUGCAAUAUUGGAAUAUGAUUUUAGUGUUUACAAGUUGAAGACUGAUAAGGAAUGAAAUAAUUUUAUAAAGGAAUUGGAUAAAAUGAAAUGUUUGGUAUCGUAAUGUUUUGUAUUAAACUCAUGUAUUGUUGGUAUGAAGUGGGAAUUAAAAAGGUGUGUAUGUAGGUUGUUAGUUGUAAUACAAUUUUCUAACUGUAGGGGCAAAAUGGUCCGUAAAAUGAGUAGGAAAUAAGGAGACCAUCUAGCAGUUGUAGGAUGUACAUAGAAAUUGGACAAUGCAACCCGUUCAUUAAAAAGCUAAAUUAGUUUCAAGAAUAGCAUUGUACAUUUAUUGAAUACAUUGUUAAUCUAUUUUCAUAUAAUCUUUAAAAAUAAAAAAAAAUUGUGGUGUACUUUUAUUAAAAGAUAACAACAGGAUUAUAAUGACGUACUGGCCUAAUUUUUGAAGAAGAUGGGCAAAAUGGUAAAAAAAAAUAGGGGUAAAUUGGUACUAGCAGGGGUAAAAUUGUCCGUAAACUAUUUUUUACACAGUUUUAACAGUAGAGGCAAGAUGGUCCAUAAAACAGUUUAUUCAUAAAUUUUGGACAUUUUUAUACUAAUUUUUGGACAGUUUUACAAAGUUUUAAUAGCAAGGCCAAAAUGGUCAAAUUUUGACUGGUUUAUACAGUUUUUUGUGUUUUAAAACAAUUUAUACAAUUUUCUGUGUUUUAAAACAGUUUCACAUUUAAAAAAAGGUACACAAUAUGCAUAAAAACUAUAUAAGAAACCAUUUAAAGUAAAUAUUAAACAUAUUUAAACCAUGUACAUAUGACACGGAAUGUUCUUCAAUGUGUACAACACCAAAAGACAAGCAUAAGCACCAAAAUAUGUGCACUAGGCACCAUAAGAUGUGUCAUUGCAUAAUGUUUGACAUAAUCGUAAUAGAAAACACCUACCCCAGUUU
rnacentral:lncRNA from 1 species